rnacentral:lncRNA from 1 species
UUUCCAUAUCAGACUUCAAAGAGUUUUAUCUGAAGCUCCCACUUUAUUUCCUAGAUAUAAGCCCCUCGUCUAGAAUGUAAAAUCCUCUGUUCUCUGUUCAAAUUUCAGCUUUGCAAUUGGAGUCAAUACAUCUCGUAUUCAAUUCAAUCCUCAUCUUUUUAUGGCCUCCUAAAUUCUAAGACCUGUCUGGGUUGUCCAGUUUUGUGAAAAAUUACAUCAUGGGAUUUGAUUCAAUGUUAGGUACAAAAUUUUGGAAAAAUCUGCAAAACCCUCAACAGUUGUGACCACAGCUCAAGACCAAGGUGGGAAUUUACAAUCUAAUAAUGCUGAUGAAUGCUUCAUAGACUGCUCUACGAAACUAGCGUUUGUCAGAAUGCCUGUCCUUUGUUGAAAGACAUGAAGAUCCUCACAUUCUCGAGCAGGAAGAACCUUGGCCGAAAGUAGUUGAUUACUACUCAAAAAGUGCUAUUUGAUAGCCUAUAAUUAAUCAUUUUAAACACUUUUGAGUAGUAGUUUAGGCCUUUUAACUCAAUUGGCAUGUUAAGGAUCCUUUAAAGCAAUUUUAAUCACUUUGUGCAAGUUUUGGUGUUUUUGUUAGUAUUUUGAUCACCAAAGCAAGUCAAGACUGAGGAGAGCUAUGAGGAAUCUUGGGCAAAGCUUAGAAGUCAUUUGCCAAGAGUGAAUCCGGAUUGCAAGGAGUAAAAGCAAAGAGAAUCUGCCAUAAAACAUAUUCUUGAUGACAGUCGUAGCAGCCACUUUUGGAGCACUUUAUUAAGUCCAAAUUAUGCAUGCUAUAUACCAUUUCAAAGCUCAGGAAGUCAACAAUCCAAUGCUUUAAACGGUGUGCAAUUCGGAGUUGAAACGAAGAAGUUGCAGCCAUUGCAAGCCAAUCACUCCGAGCUGAAGGAAGCAUUUUGCAAAGUGUUGCGAAAUCACCCUUUUGUUGCGAAGUGAUUUCGCAGCAUUUUUGUACAGUAAGGUGUAUCUCCUUCUGACGAUGCACGAUUUAUGCCGCGAGAAGGAAGCUAGGAACCUCAAGGUGGAAGCCAACUUUGCAGCCUGGUGAAGAUAGCUUGGUGUUGCGAAAUUAUUUCGCAGUCCUCUUGAGUGUCUGCGAAAUCUCGCAGACACCAUUUUACUCCUGCGAAAUGGUUCCUGAAGCCUCCCGAUAUUUGCUACCGACAUUGGGAGAUAUUUUCCAUUAGAUUUUUGUUGUCUAAAUCCCAAAAUACUCCUUGUAAACCACCAAUUACAAGAUUCCUUAGCUUUUAAGUUAGUAAAAAGACUAAAUAUUUUUGUAACAAUUAGUUUUAUAUUAUGUUGAUAUAUAUACCUCUCGGGAGCCUGUUCUCGGGGAGGAGAUUCUUCUGUAAAAGUUUGGGUAAGCAAGUAAAGUCUAUUUUCUUUCUACUGCCUUACCUUCUCACUUUGUAUUUUCAUUUUAUUUCUAAGUUAUGAAUUCUCUGAGGAGUUUUCCCCAGAGAAUGAGUAACUAAACCUCUAAUUCCUUGGAGCUAAGGUUGCCGGGGAAGGUUCCAAGUGCAAGAAUGCAAAGCUUUGUGGUUUUAGAUUUUAAUGAAGAGGAAGUGAAAUCCUUUAGUGAUUUCUAUGUUUUUAGUUAACUUAAAACACCUUAGAGUCACCUGGGCCAACACUUGGUAAGGCAAGUGAUUUCCAACUAUGGAAAUGCACUAGUUUACCUCUUGCAAGCCUCUGGGAGGUGACUUCAAGGUAGGAUUUUCUGGAAUUACCAACACUUGGUAAGCUUUUGGACUCCUAGGAGACAUCCAUUAGUUAUCUCUUGCGAGUUUGUGAAGGGAAGUCCAAGGUUAAAGAUCAUCUUGAAUGGUAAGUGCUCGUGAGAGGCAUGAACCAUUGCAAGUUGCAUCAGUGAGAGAAUUAAAGUGAAAUCUAAUUGAAGGAAUCUCUGUACAACACCGGUUAGAGAAUUGACUAUAUGUUGAAUCUCUAACGCGAGGAAAUGAACCAUCUGACCAGGGCCGUGUCUUUUGCAUGAGGAACCACCCCAGUGAACCUAAAUCUCCAAGGAAUGCUUUUCUUCCUAAAUUAUUCCAAACUUCUGUUAUGUUAGUUAGUUUAAGUCUAAACCUUUACCAAUCAAAGUUUGUGUUUUACUUCUUAAGCUAACCGUGAAAUGAAACAAGACCAAUUCACUUGGAAUUGGUAUCAUUGAUUGCUUGUUAAUUAUUCCCAGUGAACGAUCCUAGAGCCACUAUACUAUAGUAGCUUUUUAUUUGCUACCCUAGUGUAUGGUGUUAUAGGUAUAAAUUUUGUUGAUCACUCCCUCAUCCAAGGAGCACCAGCUGGACAUGGAUCAGCUGAGACACCAAUUGGGCAUAAAUCAGUAGUCGGCAAAGGAUAAGAAGGCUGGGAUCAUUUCACACUGAACUUUACUCCAGCUACUUUGGUUAACCGGAUUCAUCCCAGAGAAACCCUGUGAAGAUCGCAGCCUUGUUUGAGCUCUUUGAAUAGAGUGAAAUAACAGAGCAGAAGCUGAUCAAACCUGGCAUGGAGGGCCCCCCAUUAAUAAAAUCAACUUCUCCAACCAUCCGGUGAUGCAGAUUGUUUGGCAGCCUCAGAAGCUGAGACACGGUCAUCGGCAUUCCCACACUACUCCACGACAGCCCUGCAUCACAACCAAUUUACGGGUCUAUUACAAAUGAGAGGGAGAAAAAGAGAUUUUCAUGUUAAUGAAAUCAUUCACCUUAGGAUCGAACUGAAACGAUAAACAUCAAUGAUUCCGGAUGAUUGAAUUUGAGUGCAUCCCCAGCAGGCUCUUCAUAUUCAGUAGCCUACUUGGUUACUGAUACACCUGCAAAGUUGAAAGCAACAGGAGGUAAAAUCAUCACAUUCUUUAAUAAAAAUGUCAUCACAUACGACUCUUUAGCUGAUAUAGAUACAAAUGAACUACCUGAUUGAGGGGCCCUUCAAAGGAAAAUAUGUUCCAAAGGUUGCAAGGACAUCACAUGGUGGCAGAUCAUGCUUCUGAAUAACCUGCACAUUCCACCCUUCAAAUAUAUUAGAAAAAUAAUAUAAUUGUAGUUUUAUAUUAUAAUAGAAGUUCAAAAAAAAAAAGAGAAAUUAUGCACGAUUGCUUGCACCCACCUCAUGGAUGUCAUAACAGUAUGCCUUCUUGCUUUUACAUUUUACAGUAAUAAUAGAUCGAUAACAAAUUUACAUGGAGAAGUGAGAACCCUCAGCUAGUUUCAUCCCCAUGACCAUGAUCCAGCAGCUCACCCAACGUAAUCACAGAAAACGGUUUUGACAAUAGUGGCCACUGUUUUGAGAGUGCUCGAGCAACUUGUUGCAUAGUUGGCCGAGAUUGGGGAUUAACACACAAACAUGCAAAUGCCAACUUCACUGCAACCACUACUUCCUCUGCCACUUGAUUCACAGGAGGUGAGGGGCGCUGGUCUAUCACAUCAUUCAGCAGGAAAUGGCCGACCGUUGAUGGUGAUGCAGAUGAGGAGGACGCUGAUGAUAACAGGGAUGAGAUAAGCUCUCCGGGAUGCCUUCCCAUAAUUACUUCUAAUGUCACAACACCGAAGCUAUAAACAUCGGUUUUAUUAUCCACCUUCAUUGUGUAAGCAAGUUCUGCAAAAGAAGAUUAGAUCAUGCUCUGCUCUGCUAAGCAAUUAGAAACGUUACAUAUGACGUAUAGAGGCCAUUUAGAGAUAAGCAAGGCACUAAGAAAAAUGUACCUGGAGCUGUAUAACCAAAAGUUCCUGCAAAUGAAGUCCAAUUAGAUGAGUCUGACUUUAAAAGCCUAGCCGUGCCGAAGUCAGAUACAUGAGCUUCAUAUUCUGAAUCUAACAAAACAUUGUUGCUCGAUAUGUCUUGAUGAAUUACAGGAGGUGAGCAAUCAUGGUGCAUAUAAGAUAAAGCUUUAGCCACGCCUUUAAUAACGUUUAGCCUCACAGUCCAAUCUAAUCUUUCUGCUUCUUCGUCGUUGCAUAGAAUGUUUUGCAAACUCCCCUUUUCCAUAAACUCAUAAACCAAAAAUGAGUUCUUUGCAAAUGAACUGAAGCCAUAAAGCUUGACGAUGUUGUGGUGCCUUAUCUGUGUUAAAGCAUAAAUCUCGCUUUUGAAAGCUUUCAAAUCAGCCAUAUCUCCAUCUUCUGAUGAGUGAAGCUUUUUCACAGCAACAACCCGACCUGUUGGCAACUCAGCCUUGUAAACAGUACCAUAUCCUCCAGUGCCAAUACACUGUUUCGAACUGAAAUUGUCGGUCCCCUGUAUGAUGUGCUCAUACAACAAUUCCCCAUCAUGGCCCCAUAUUGCAAAUAGAUCUUCAACAUCUGCUUCAGGAGACUUGGUUUUUCUCUUCCUCAAUUUUUGGAAAAGAAAAUAAAUGCCAGUAAUAAAAGCAAAUAAGAACAAUAGACUGCUCACAAUAAGGAGUAUUAUGAUCAAAAUAGAAAACUUGCUGGCCUUCUUUUGACUAGCACCGCAUGGCUUGAGAUGAGUGACAUUAUUACCACACAGACCUUUAUUAUUUUUGAAUGCCUCAAAUUGAGCAAAUGCUUUGAUGUUGGGGAGAGGACCUUCCAACUGAUUGUAGGAUAUAUCAGCAACUGUCAGGCUUAUCAAAUCAUAAAACGUGUGUGGGAUGGUGCCAGAGAGAUCGUUAUGGGAGAGAUUCAACGUUUCUAGGUUCUGUAAUUCUCCAAGGUGCGGUGGAACCUCUCCUGUCAACAUAUUUUGACUAAGAUCGAGACUUUCAAGAUGAUGCAUCUUUCCAAUUUCGUCAGGAAUGCUAUCCACAAAUCUAUUCUCGCUCAAGUUCAAGGACCAUAAUUUCCAGAAGUUUCCCAGUUGCUUGGGAACUGGACCGCUUAAGUUGUUUGAUGCCAAGUCAAGGAUUUCAAGAUUGGAUAAGUUUCCUAAUUCCAGAGGAAUACUUCCUGAAAGUUUGUUGUUGCCUAGCAACAAUUUGAACAAUAAGGGAAACAUACCCAAUUCUUUUGGGAUCUUCCCAAUUAGAUGAUUUGAGGAGAGAUCAAGUUGUUGCAGUUGAAUUGCUUUCCCAAGUUGAGGUGGUAUAGCACCAGAAAUUUUAUUGUUGGAGAUGUUCAGGUUUGUGAGCAUGUGGCACUCCCCCCAUUUCUCAGAAAGCUCACCAUAAAAAUUGUUAUUGCUCAGAUCAAUAUAAUUUAGAUUAGGGUAUACACCAAAACUUUCGGCUAUGUCUCCAGUAAGUUGGUUUUUUUCAAGCCUAACUCUGAAUAAGCUAGUGCAAUUUUUCAAGCUCUUUGGAAUAGGACCAGUGAAAUGGUUCAUUUGGGCUGAAACUUUUUCAAGAGCAUUACCAAGGCAUAUCUCUUGUGGUAGGUGGCCAAUGAAGUUAUUCUCAGCAAUUUGCAAAGAUUUCAAAUGAGUGAUAUUAUUCAUUUCUAGAGGAAUGGCACCACUGAGUCUGUUGUAAUGAAGGGCCAAAAAGUUUAAGCCGGACAAGUUUCCAAAGGAUGGAGGGAUCAGACCAGUGAGACUAUUAUUUGCCAACUCAAGAUCAUUAAGUGAUGUCAACAAUCCAAUCUCUUGAGGAAUAGAACCGGAUAGUUUGUUUGUAUGAAGGUACAAAGUGGUUAAGUUCCUCAAGUUACCUAUGGAAUGAGGGAUUGGACCGGUGAGAUUGUUAAUUGACAACGCAAGAUCAUUAAGUGAUGUCAACAAUCCAAUUUCUUGAGGGAUGGAACCAGAAAGCUUGUUCUCAGAAAGAUCUAAAGUGGUUAAAUUUCUCAAGUUUCCAAAGGAUGGAGGGAUCGGACCAGUGAGACUAUUAUUUGCCAACUUAAGAUCAUUAAGUGAUGUCAACAAUCCAAUCUCUUGAGGAAUAGAACCGGAUAGUUUGUUUGUAUGAAGGUACAAAGUGGUUAAGUUCCUUAAGUUACCUAUGGAAGGAGGGAUUGGACCGGUGAGAUUGUUAAUUGACAACGCAAGAUCAUUAAGUGAUGUCAACAAUCCAAUUUCUUGAGGGAUGGAACCAGAAAGCUUGUUCUCAGAAAGAUAUCAAGUGGUUAAAUUUCUCAAGUUUCCAAAGGAUGGAGGGAUCGGACCAGUGAGACUAUUAUUUGCCAACUCAAGAUCAUUAAGUGAUGUCAACAAUCCAAUCUCUUGAGGAAUAGAACCGAAUAGUUUGUUUGUAUGAAGGUACAAAGUGGUUAAGUUCCUCAAGUUACCUAUGGAAUGAGGGAUUGGACCGGUGAGAUUGUUAAUUGACAACACAAGAUCAUUAAGUGAUGUCAACAAUCCAAUUUCUUGAGGGAUGGAACCAGAAAGCUUGUUCUCAGAAAGAUCUAAAGUGGUUAAAUUUCUCAAGUUUCCAAUGGAUGAAGGGAUCGGACCAGUAAGACUAUUAGUUGCCAACUCAAGAUCAUUAAGUGAUGUCAACAAUCCAAUCUCUUGAGGGAUAGAACCAGAAAGCUCAUUCUCAAAAAGAUGUAGAGUGGUUAAGUUUCUCAAGUUUCCUAUGGAUGGAGGGAUUGGACCAGUGAGACUAUUAAUUGCCAAUUGAAGAUCAUUAAGCGAUGUCAACAAUCCAAUUUCUUGAGGAAUAUAACCAGAUAGUUUGUUUUUAUGAAGGUACAAAGUGGUUAAGUUCCUCGAGUUACCUAUGGAAGGAGGAAUUGGGCCUCUGAAAUUAUUAAAACACAAUGCUAGAACACUAAGAGAUGUUAGAAAUCCAAGUUGGGGAGAUAUUACACCAGUAAAACGAUUGAAAGUAAAGUUAAGAUUUGUGAUUAGUUUAGAAAGAUUACCAAUGUUGAUUGGAAUGGUUCCAUAAAGGGAGUUGUUAUAAAGAUUAAGAGUGAGAAGGUUAGGGAGUGAUGAGAAAUUGAGAUUGUGGAGUGUACCUCUCAAACCGCAAUUGUCAAGGUCUAAAUUGGAGACACUUCCUGACCUGUGACAAGUCACUCCAAACCAAUGAUGGCAAGAAUUGCGUCCAGACCAAGAAGAAAGGAAAGAUUGGGUUUGAUUAUCAAGACUGGUCUUCCAUGUUAGAAGAGCAACUGCCUCUUGAUCUUGUUCAACUUUCAAAAGAGAAGUGGUAGGUGUAGAGGCAGAUGUAAAAGUGACAUGGAAUAAUGAUAUCGAGUACAGAAGGAAAAGGAGAAAUAUGAAUAAGCAAGGAGUGAUGAUGAGUCGGGGGAGUAAGGAGUAGGAUGAAAAAUAUUCAAGCACCAUUGUUGAAUUGGUAGAAAUGAAGUUAUUAAGAGGUUUACCUGGAGGGAAGGAUGAAGACGAAACACUUAUUUAUAGACUUAAAUGUGAUACAUCCAAGAUUUCCAUUAGUUGGUGUUGACAUCUAACCAUUUGCUUUGUCUACGAUUAAUGGAAUUGAAAAGUAUUAUAUACAUGCAUGAGCUCAAUUCCACACUUAUUUUAUUUUAUCAAAAUGCUCUUAAUUUUUUUAUUAAAAUUUACACCUGUAAUUACAUAUGAAAUAAUUAAAAAUAUUCCUUUUUCACUCUAUGCACUUUUAAAUAUAACUUGUUUAAAAUUAAUCAUUACAAUUCAUUUUAAGAAGUAAGGACCAAAUAUACCCACGUCAACAACCUAGUUGAUAUAGGAAGUCCACUUUAACCAACAUUACUCAUUGUUUAGAUUGAAUUCUUUUAACUAUUUUGCCCUGUGAGAAAUAAACUCUUUUAACUUUAUUAGUUCUUUCAUAAUUUUUAUCCUUACAAUAUGAACUAUCUGAUUUCUCUUAAUAUUUUAUAAAUCAUUUAUGUUAUAUUUCAAAACAAAAUUAGUUGUCAUUUCUUCUACUUCUUUCCCAGACAAAUGCAUAAUUUGUGGUUGAUGUUUAUUAGUUUUAUUAAAGGUGUUUACAAUUUGUAAGUGAGACCCAUCAUCUAUGAAAAAUAUAGACAUGCUUUUUUUCAGUUGAAAGUCUUAAGGAACUAGUAUUUGGACCACAACAAGAACUAAGGGCUACCAAAUUUUCACUUUGUUUUACAUCCAAAUAAAACACACAAUCCUUUAUGUAUUGUCUAUUCUAAGCCAAGGGGCUCUCAAGGCUUUAAAAUGCAUCUCUAAGAUUAAGAGGAGCCUAACAUAUAUAUCAUCAUGAGCUUUUUUUCUCUAUCCGACGUGAGAUGUCAUAAAAAUUGUUCAACAAGACUAAUGCAUUUGUGAAGCUCAAAAGAAUCACAAAAAUCAAAGGAAGAUUUUUUGGGCAUUACAACAUAAAAGAUGCAGGACCCUUGUACACAUGCAUUUUCCUUAUCAAACAAUUGUCUUGACAAGCCAUUCUAAAGCCCACUUGGCUUGCCAUCACUAGUGAUGGACCUACAUCAUUCAAAUUCUCGAUGCUCUUGAAAAGGCCAUAUGCACUUGAAGUAAAAAGAGCUUUGAAUUUUUGUUAGAUACUUCGUUUUUUCUAUUUGGAAACAUAUUUUUCUUUUCUUUUUUUGUUCUUUUUUUUUAAUAGAACGUUUACCCUCCUAGAGUGUAAAAUCCUCUAUUUUCUGUUCAAAUUUCAGCUUUGCAAUUAGAGUCCUAAAUUCUAAACCUUGUCUGGGUUUUCCAGUUUUGUGAAAAAUCACAUCAUAGGGACCCAACAAGAUGGGAUUUGAUUCAAUGUUAGAGACAAAUUUUGGAAAAAUCUACAAAACCCUCAACAGUUGUGGCCAUACCAUAGCUCAAGACCAAGAUGGGAAUUUACAAUCUAAUAAAGCUGAUGAAUGCUUCAUAGACGUGAAGGUCCUCACAUUCUUGAUCGGGAAGAACCUAGGCCGAAAGUAAUCAGCAAAGGAUAAGAACGCCAGGAUCAUUUCACACUGAAACACUUUACUCCAACUACUCUGGUUAAACGGAUUCAUCCUAGAGAAAACUAUGAAGAUAGCAGCCUUGUUAUAGACUUAAAUGUGAUACAUCCAACAUUCCCAUUAGUUGGUGUUGACAUCCAACUACCUCCUUGUCUACAACUAAUGGAAUUGAAAAGGAUUAUAUGGCUCAAUCCCAUGCUUAUUUUAUUUUAUUUUAUCAAAGUGCUCUUAAUUUUUAUUAAAAACACUUGGAGUGCUUCUUCUUGGAUAAACACUUGAUGAGUAUUUCUUUUAAAGGAUAAGAGAAAUAUGAAAAAUACUAAUAUUUCAUAAAAAUAUUCAUUUUACAAAAAUACAUUCUUCUAGUAUUUUUAUUAAAAAUAAUUUUAGAAAUACUCUUACCAAAUGGUGGAAAAUUCUUAACAUGAGUGCAAAUUAAUUUUUAUUUUGAAAAAGUUUUACUAAAUGGAAAAAAAUUCUUCCUCGAAUUUUAUGUGGAUAUGAAUUACUUGGAUAAAAUUGGAGCUUUGUCCAUAUCAUGUUAGUGACUUAUUUUGUUGAGAUAUAUAGUUAUAAGACAAAUCUCACCCAAAUAUCUUUUUUUCGUAGAAGACAAAGCUCAUUGCCUUGAAUGAUAGGAUCUAGAGAUGCACAAAAGUGUGCUUUUUUAUUUAAAAAAAUGUGUUCUAUGACUAGCAUGUAUUUCAAAUUUAAGUUCAACCAAAAAGACCGCUCAAUCUCCUAAGAGCUCUUUAGAGAUGAAAACCAAUUUUAAUUAUAUCAAAUAAAAAUAUAUAAUUAUUAUUUCUUAAGAUGGUAUUGUUAAAUUGCCAAUUUUUAAAAAUUUUAUUAUGGUAAAAAAUGUUAACAUUUUGGGAAAAAAAUUAUUACUAUUUUUUUUUCAAACUAGCAGUCUUGAAAUAUUUUGUCUUAAUUAUAUAAAAAAUGAUAAUUAUUUUUGUAUAGACAAUGAUAUUUAAUUAGUAAUUUUUAGAUAUUCUUAGCAUGUAAAAAGAAGUAGACUUGACAUUUAAUAAUAUUUUGAUACCACUUUAAUCAAAUAUAUUAUUCAAAGUUAUACAUCUAGCUCUAUUAAAUUUAAGUUAAAUGAAGGUAUAGUCGAAAUUCAUAUUGACAAACAAAUGUUACCUAAGUGUAAUUCCUAUGACAUUGUAGUGAAGCAUAAUUUUUUUUUUCUUUUUAAGUAGAAUUAUAUGAAAACUUAAUUUAUUUUAAGCAUGCAUUAAAAUAAUGAUUUGUCUUUUAUUAAUUAAAAAACUAAAAAAAAAAUUGUACUAUUUAUUAUUAUUAAAAAAGAUUUCUUACUUUCAAUUAAAAUUACAUAUUUACAUAAGAAUAUAAAGUUCCCUUUCCAAUUGCAUGUUUUUAGUCUAGACAUUUAUUGUCUUUGAUAGGGUGGAAAAGUCAUUGCAUUCUUGAUUUUUAUUAACAAUUGUGUGGAAAAGUUGUUGUUUUCCUAAUUCUUGUCAAUAAUUGUGUUCAAAAGUCAUUGCAUUCCUAAUUCUUAUCAACAAUAGUUUUUAAGGAAUCUAUACCUAAUAUUCACAUUAUCAAUAGUAUAUGAAAAUGAUCCUAAUUGAUGUGAGUGGUCUAAUUAGAGUGAAGUAUAUAAGAAUAUCAUUUAUUAAAUCUUAGUAUUAAAAUAAAAAGUAGCAAUUGAAUCCAUUAUAUCAAGACUUGAGGAAUGUGAGGAAUCUAAAUUAAUUUUCUUUCCCUAUAAGGUAGAAUUUGCAUUGAAACUCCAUCUACUUUAAUUUAAGGGAUAGCACAAACAAAGUCGUAGGUGUGACAUGCUUUUAUGUAAAAACAAUUUAAGAGUGGUUUGUGCUUUUUAUAAUAGGUAUCAUGAAAAAGAACAUGCUCAAAAUGUAAAUUUUUUAUUUUUUUAAAUAAUAUUACAUUAUUUUAAUUCAAUUUUCAAGUUAAUUAAAAGCAAAACUUAGAUCAUGGAUUGGACAUAAUGACAAUAAAUUUCUCCUAUUAAUAGAUUUAACAAUAAAAAAGAUGAGUCUUUUUUUUUUCAAGUUAAUUACUAAUUUCUAAAAUUUUUAUUAUGGUAACAAAUGUUAAUAUUUUGAAAUAUUUGAAAAUAUGUUAAUUAUCAUUUUUUGCCAAAUUAUUAAUCUUCAAAUAUUUUUAUUUUAAUUAUAUAAAAUAAAAACAAAUAUAAUAAUUAUUUUAUUACAAACAAAGAAAUUUAAUUAUUAAUUUUUAGUCUUAGCUUAUAAAAGGAAGUAGAUUUAACACUUACAAGAACACCACUUUUAAACAAAUAUGUUAUUCCAAGUUAUACAUAUAGUUCUAUUACAUUUAAGUUGAUGCCAGUGGUAUGAUCAUAGUGAUGUAUAUAUUAGUAUUAAAACAAAAAGUCACAAUUGAGUCUUUUGUAUUUAGACUAAGGAAUAAUUAUAACAAUGGUGAAACCUAGAUUAAUUUUUUCCAUCUUUAUAAGGUAAAAUUUGUAUUGAAACUUCAUCUAUUUCAAGGCAUAGCACAAAUGAAGUUGCAAGGAUGACAUGCCUUCAUGUAGAAAUAAAAUAGAAUUUCAUUGUCUAAAUAGGAUAUUUUAUUAUUAUUGUAAACAAAUUUUUUUACUUCUUCCUUUGUUAGCAUCAAGAACUCAGAAAAUAUUUGCUUCACAAUGUUGAGCAUUGAUGCAUCUAUUUAAUAGUGAUUUGUGCCUUUUAGAUUACAUAUUUUGAAAAAAGAUAUGUUCGAAAUGUAAAUUUUACUAUUAUUUUUUUUUUCAAAUGAUACUCUAUUAUUUCAAUUUAAUUAAAAGGGAGACUUAGGCCAUGGGUCAAACACAAUGACAAUAAAUUUGUCCAGAUGGAUUUAACAAUCGCAAAUAUGGUUUUCUUUUUUUUGAAUACAUAUAAAAGAGAAUUUAUGAUCUAGUUUUUUUAUAGACUUAAAAGAACAAAAAAAAUCAAUUAUUGAAUAUACCUACCAAUUCAAUUACCUUAGAAAAAUUAAAACUUGUGCAUAUUUGUUGCUCAGUUUACAAUUCUUAACAAAUUAAUAGAAAAGAAUUAAACAUUCAAGGCAAAAAAAAAUAGGUCCAUUCAAUUUUCCUUUGAAAUGAUAGUGGGUUGUUUUAAUGGGAUUUGAAGUUUGGGUCAAACUUGAUAUAAUAUUGUUUUACCCUUGAAAUUGAUAACGAUAAUGGGUCAUGUAUAAUGGGAUUUGAAAUCCAAAUCUUAGUGGGAUAUGAACUCUAAGUCAAAUAAUGAUAAUUGGUUUGUUUAGUGGGAUUUAAAAUUUGAGUCUUAAUGGUCUUCGAAGUCAUCAAAUAAUGAUAAUUGGCAUGUUUAGUGGAACUUGAACUUUGAGUUUGAAUGGGGUUUGAAGUUUGAGUCAAACUUGAUAUAAUAUUUUACCCAUAAUUGGCCAUCUUUAAUAGCAUUAGAAGUCAUAGUCAAACUUGAUGUAAUGUUUUACCCUUGGAAAUAAUAAUGAUGAUUGGUGGGAUAUGAAGUCCAAAUCUUAGUGGGAUAUGAACUCUAAGUCAAAUAAUGAUAAUUGGUUUGUUUAGUAGGAUUUGAAAUUUAAAUCUUAAUAGGAUUCAAAGUCGUCAAAUAAUGAUAAUUGGCCUGUUUAGUGGGACUUGAACUUUGAGUCUGAAUGGGGUUUGAAUUUUGAGUCAAACUUGAUAUGAUAUUUUACCCACAAUUGGCCAUCUUUAAUAGGAUUGGAAGUUAUAGUCAAACUUGAUAUAAUAUUUUAUCCUUUGAAAUAAUAAUGAUAAUUGGUGGGAUAUGAAGUCCAUCUCUUAGUGAGAUAUGAACUCUAAGUCAAAUAAUGAUAAUUGGUUUGUUUAGUGGGAUUAGAAAUUUAAGUCUUAGUAAGAUUCAAAGUCGUCAAAUAAUGAUAAUUGGCAUGUUUAGUGGGACUUGAACUUUGAGCUUGAAUGGGAUUUGAAGUUUCAGUCAAACUUGAUAUAAUAUUUUACCCACAAUUGGCCAUCUUUAAUAGGAUUGGAAGUCAUAGUCAAACUUGAUAUAAUAUUUUACCCUUUGAAAUAAUAAUGAUAAUUGGUGGAAUAUAAAGUCCAAAUCUUAGUGGGAUAUGAAAUCUAAGUCAAAUAAUGAUAAUUGGUUUGUUUAGUGGAAUUUGAAAUUUAAGUCUUAAUAGGAUUCAAAGUCGUCAAAUAAUGAUAAUUGACAUGUUUAGUGGGACUUGAACUUUGAGUCUGAAUGGGAUUUGACAUUUGAGUCAAACUUGAUAAUUUUACCCUUAAAAAUAAUAACAAUAAUUGAUCAUAUUUUAUGGGAUUUGAGAUCUUAGUCAAACUUAAUAUAAUAUUUUAACCAACAAUGAAAAAUAAAUAAGCAUAUGAUACGAGCUAAGAACUCAUUUCAAAAGUAGGGUCAAAAAUGGUUUUAAAUGCUUAAAAAGUGUGUUUUGCUAUAUAAAAAAAAAUCGUUUUAACGUUAGAAAAUAUAGAUACUUCUUCUAAAAGCCAUUACAAGAAAGACAUGAAAAAUAUUAAAAUUUCAAAUAAAUUUUCAUGUUUGAAAAACAUAUUUUUCUUGCAUUUUUAUUAAAAAUAUGUUCAAACAUACUCUUACAUGAUCUACUUGAGUUCCUAAAAUAAUUACAAACUCUAUUUAAUUUUUAUUUUAAAAUUUUUUUACCUAAGGGUGGAAAAUUCCUCCUCAAAUUAUACAUGGAUAUGAAUUAUUUGGAUGAAAAUUGGAGCUAAUAUCAUAAGAAUGACCUAUUUUAGUGGAAUAUAUAGUUAUUAUAAGAUAAAUCUCACUCAACUAUCUGUUUACUUAUAAGACAAAGUUCACUGCCUUGUAUAAUGGGGUGCAAAAAUACAUAUGAGUGGACACUUUUGACUUAAAGUAUAAUGAGAUGUAAAAAUACAUAUGAGUGAACACUUUUUACUUAAGAUCGUGUUUCACAAUAACAUGUCUUAAAUUUAAGUUCAAAGAAAAGUACCACUUAAACCUCCAAAGAACCCUUGAACAUAACAAUUGAAAAUAAAGAUAAACUCCCUCAUAUGAUAAUAAAAAAUAUUUUUCAAUUGUUAUAAAUUGUGAUCAUGUUACUUAUUAAGUUAAAUAAGAAGUAAAAAGGAUUUUAUAAAAAUGGUAUUUUAAAUGUGAAGUAAAUUUUAAAUGUGCUAAAAAUUUUAGGUCCUCUUUGGACGUGUUUUCUAAUGCUGGUUGAAAAGUUGUUUUUAUGUUAAAGAACAAAAGAUAGUUAUUUAGUAUUUUAUAAAAAUAAGGAUGUUUGAUAAGUUGUUUUUUCAAAAAAUAAAAAUAAGAACUUUUUUGGAUAAGUUGUUUAUAAAAAUAAUUUUCCUAUUUUGAUUUUGUAAAAACAUUAUAAAUUUAAUUUAUGUAAUAUUAAUUAAAUUUAAUUAAAGUCUUAUUGAAAAUAAAAAAAUAGUUUUUAAUUACAAAUAAAUUAAAAAAAUAAAUAGUUUUUAGUAAAAUAUGAACAAUAAUAUUAUAAUAAAAUCAUAAAUAAAAAAAAUUAUAAAAAAAUAUUAUUUUAGUAUAUUUUUUAUGCUAAAGCUCCUAAUGGGCUUCGAAGUCAUCAAAUAAUGAUAAUUGACAUGUUUAGUGGGACUUGAACUUUGAGUUUGAAUAGGGUUUAAAGUUUGAGUCAAACUUGAUGUAAUAUUUUAUCCACAAUUGGCCAUCUUUAAUAGGAUUGGAAGUUAUAGUCAAACUUGAUAUAAUAUUUUACCCUUGGAAAUAAUAAUGAUAAUUGGUGGGAUAUGAAGUCCAAAUCUUAGUGAGAUGUGAACUCUAACUCAAAUAAUGAUAAUUGGUUUGUUUAGUGGGAUUAGAAAUUUAAGUCUUAAUAGGAUUCAAAGUCGUCAAAUAAUGAUAAUUGACAUGUUUAGUGGGACUUGAACUUUGAGUCUGAAUGGGAUUUGAAGUUUGCGUCAAACUUGAUAUCAUAUUUUACCCACAAUUGACCAUCUUUAAUAGGAUUGGAAGUCAUAGUCAAACUUGAUAUAAUAUUUUACCCUUUGAAAUAAUAAUGAUAAUUGGUGGAAUAUGAAGUCCAAAUCUCAGUGGGAUAUGAAAUGUAAGUCAAAUAAUGAUAAUUGGUUUGUUUAGUGGGAUUUGAAAUUUAAGUCUUAACAGGAUUCAAAGUCGUCAACUAAUGAUAAUUGGCAUGUUUAGUGGGACUUGAACUUUGAGUCUGAAUGGGAUUUAACGUUUGAGUCAAACUUGAUAAUUUUACCCUUGAAAAUAAUAACGAUAAUUGGUCAUAUUUAAUGGGAUUUGAGAUCUUAGUCAAACUUAAUAUAAUAUUUUAACCAAUAAUGAAAAAUAAAUAAAUAUAUGAUAUCAACUAAGAACUCAUUUCGAAAGUAGGGUCAAAAAUUGUUUAAAAUGCUUAAAAAGUGUGUUUUGCUAUAAAAAAUAAAUCAUUUGAAAAAAAAAAUCGUUUUAAAGUUAGAAAACAUGAAUAAACACUUAGAUAUUUCUUCUAAAAGCCAUUACAAGAAAGACAUGAAAAAUAUUAAAAUUUCAAAUAAAUUUUCAUGUUUGAAAAACAUAUUUUUCUUGCAUUUUUAUUAAAAACAUGUUCAAACAUAUUCUUAUAUGAUCUACUUGAGUUCCUAAAAUAAUUACAAACUCUAUUUAAUUUUUAUUUUAAAAUUUUUUUACCUAAGGGUGGAAAAUUCCUCCUCAAAUUAUACAUUGAUAUGAAUUAUUUGGAUGAAAAUUGGAGCUAACAUCCAUAUCAUAAGAAUAACCUAUUUUAGUGGAAUAUAUAGUUAUUAUAAGAUAAAUCUCACCCAACUAUCUCUUUACUUAUAAGACAAAGUUCAUUGCCUUGUAUAAUGGGAUGCAAAAAUACAUGAGUGGACACUUUUGACUUAAAGUAUAAUGGGAUGUAAAAAUACAUAUGAGUGGACACUUUUUACUUAAGAACGUGUUUCACAAUGACAUGUGUCUUAAAUUUAAGUUCAAAGAAAAGUACCACUUAAACCUCCAAAGAACCCUUGAACAUAAUAAUUGAAAAUAAAGAUGAACUCCCUCAUAUGAUAAUAAAAAAUAUUUUUCAAUUGUUAUAAAUUGUGAUCAUGUUACUUAUUAAGUUAAAUAAGAAGUAAAAAGGAUUUUAUAAAAAUGGUAUUUUAAAUGUGAAGUAAAUUUUAAAUGUGCUAAAAGUUUUAGGUCCUCUUUGGAUGUGUUUUCUAAUGCUGGUUGAAAAGUUGUUUUUAUGUUAAAGAAUAAAAGAUAGUUAUUUAGUAUUUUAUAAAAAUAAGGAUGUUUGACAAGUUUUUUUUAAAAAAAGUAAAAAAUAAAAAACUUUUUUGGAUAGGUUGUUUAUAAAAAUAAUUUUUCUAUUUUGAUUUUGUAAAAACAUUAUAAAAUUAAUUUAUGUAAUAUUAAUUAAAUUUAAUUAAAGUUUUAUUGAAAAUAAAAAUAGUUUUUAAUUACAAAUAAAUUAAAAAAUAAAUAGUUUUUAGUAAAAUAUGAACAAUAAUAUUAUAAUAAAAUCAUUAAAAAAUAUUAUUUUAGUAUAUUUUUCAUGCUAAAGCUCCUAUGAAAUUUUAGGUAGAUACAUGUCUUCUAGUGGAUAAUUAUAGUCUUUUUCAACUCGGAGAUCCUUCACGACAUGAGCCACCAACCAUUCCUCAUACAAAAUCUUGCCAAAUUAACCUUGAGAAUAUUCCUCAACAUCCUAUUCCUCUUCAUCUCAACCAUCCUCUCCCUUUGUCUCCUCCACCUCUCUUGAACACCACUCCCCUCCGCCCCAAUCUCCCACCCUCUCAUCUCAUGGUCCAGGUGCUAAAGUCAUUGAAUACAUCUUGUAUUGUAUUCAAUCCCAUGUUUUUCUGGCCUCAUAAAUUCUAAACCCUAUCUAGGUUUUCCAAUUUUGUGAAAAAUUAUAUGGAUUAAAUUCAAUGUUAGAGACAAAAUUUUGAACAAAUCUGCAAAAACGCUCAACAGUUGUGGUCAUAGCUCAUGACCAAGAUGGGAGUCUACAAUGUAAUAAUGCUGAUGAAUGAUUCAAAGACUGCUCCAACUAGAUUUUGAAAAUUGUCUAUUUUCCAACAUUUUUGUAUUGAGCUAUUCUCGUAUAAACGGAUUGAAAACAGUUUUUUGAAAAUUUGUUUAAAAAUAAGAGGACUUUUCAUAAAAAAAUUCAGGGUGUUUUAUUAGAGCAAUAGGAGACAUGGAGAAUAUGCCGAUAACUUUUGCAGUGUACAUCAAUGCAUAAUACUUUCAUAGAGAAGAGACUUUUAUUUAAAAAAAAAAAAAAAAAAUUGACUCCUAAUAGAAUUUUAUUACUCCAAACAUUCAGGAGCUAUUCUUAAAAAUCGAUUUGUAAAAAUUAUCGAGCAGACCCACAAUCUGUUCGAGUAACAAAUGGAAAACUUACCAUUUGAUCUUAUUCCAACUACAAUUUAAAAAAAGAAAACAAACAAACAUAUAAAUCCUUAGACAGGACCGAGCAACAAGCAUUGUGGUUUUGUUGUCUGUGGGUGGUCAAAUUUAUCAGUAACCCAAGACUUCCAUGCUCACAAAAGCUCCAUUUUAAUCAAAGGUUGGUGAGAAAAUUACUAACAGGCUCAAGUCUCAUCUUAAAUAGAAGGAAAACAAAAACAUUAUUUACAUGCUUCACCAAUGAAACAUUCAAGUUAUGCAUUGAUAACCAUAAUUUCUGGGGAUAUAACGCUGUUCAACAAGAUUAAUGCAUUUGUGAAGCUCAGACGAAUCGCAAAGAUCAUAGAUGAAAAUCUCUCUAGCAUUACCAAAUAAAAGGUACAACGAAGAAAAAGUUGAUGUAUGUGAUCUUGCUUGGGACUGAGGUGGAUCAAUGUUCAAUAUUUUCCUAAAAUAAGCAGACUAAUUAGUGUAAGAAAUAUUGAUUCAUAUAGAACUUUAACCACAAAAUUCAGAAUUAACUAGGAAGAAGAUGAAAAUACAGAGAAAACUUGAGGGAAGGAGCUAAGACACAGAUGGAGGGAUUGGCUUCACAGCAUUUUGGAUCCGCUGGAAUGCCACUCUCACUCUUUCCUUGAGGCCUUCAUUUUCGCUCUCAACAUUCCCACUCUGUUUAUCAAGAUGCACCACAUUUCCAUCAACGCUUAUCACCAGGUUCCCAUUCCCUUCCAACUUCACAUCUCCAAACAGAGAAACAAGGAGUGCGUGGAUAACCUUUUCUGCUUUCUUCCCAUUUUCUUCUUCAGUUUUCAUGGCCUCUGAUUCAACUACUACCUUGGGGAUCUCAAGACUGAUAUUUAAAACUAGAGCCACAAUGGAGUCAGAGACCAUGUCACUAAUUGGAUCUGAUGUCCAACGCAAUGAAAUAUGCUUCUCCGACUCAUGCUUCACUGUCACCCGUUCAUGGACUUGAAAAGCUGGAACCUCAGAUUCUUCAUCUGGCAAUGACUCAACACUCUCAUAUAUCUGCUUCAGCCUGUGCUUUAUUACACCAAAGGCACCAGUGUAAGGAAUAGUAAUCCUCUGGGUGACAUUUGCCGUGGAUAGCUGUGAGAAGACAUGGAGAUCAUCAGGUGCCAUUAUCUGAUAAGUGAACCCUUUCUUUACCAGUAAACCACUGACAAUUUCACCAACUUCUGGGGUCUUUUCAGCCAGCCUCUCAAUGGUUUUUGCCAUUUUUUCAGAGUUGAAAUACAUUUCAACUGACUGACAGUUCUUUGGGGAAAUAAUUUUGGUGUUGCAGUCAGCAAACUGGGUGAUAAGCUUCUGUUUGAGCCUCCCCAUCUCAUUAGCUUCUCCAUGAACAAGAAUGAUGUUAGGUGGCAUGAGCUCCUUCAAGAAUGUACUUGUCUGUGCAAAAUCUGCAUGGGCAGAGAAAGAAAUGUAAUGGACCUGCAUGUUGAGGGGAGCAGUAAGACCAUUCAUUAAAGUAACUUCCUUGGGUUCAUUAAUGAUGGUUUUUGCCAAUGUCCCUCCCACGACAUACCCAGGUAUAACACAUGCAUUUUUCUUAUCAGAGCACCACAUAUCAAACAGUUGUCUUGACAACCCACUCUGAAGCCCACCCGGGCUCGCCAUCACCACUGAUGGACCUACAUCAUUAAAAUUCUCAAUGCUCUUUAAGGGUGAUAUGUGCUUGAAGUCAAAGGGAUUCGAAUUUGCAAAUUGGUUGCGGAUCCUCUCAUUCAUGGAAUUGAUAUAUGUCUGGUAAACAGCCAUGCACCUUUUUGCAAGGGGGGAAGCAUAAAAUAUGGGAUGUUAUGGAGCUCAGGAUGGUUAGACCAAUACUCAUCAAGGAUAAGAAGGAGUUCUUGGGCACGACCUAGAGCAUAUGCAGGGAUUAGAACACGGCCCCCUUGAGAAAUGGUUGAGUGGAUGACAUCUGUGAAGCGUUUUUCUCGCACAUGCCGAGGCUGAUGGAGUUGGACACCAUAAGUGGAUUCAAUUAUGCAAAUAUCAGGGCAGAACUGUGGAAUCUCAGCAGCACGGAGAUGACGAUCUUCUUCGCUAGAAUAGUCUCCAGUGUAAAGUACUCGGACACCAGCAAUAUCAACCAUAAACAUGGCAGCACCAAGGACGUGGCCAGCUGUGUAACACCAAAAUCGUAUACCAUUUACUUCUAAAGUCUGAUGGAAAUCAAUAACCUGCAGAAGGGAGAUUUAAUUACAGUUACAGGAAGAUUAAAUGAGAUAAGAAAAUUAAGCUACAUAUCUAAAGUCAAUUGUUGUAAAUGGCCCAACAUUCUGCAAUAGAUCAGGAUUAUAUGCAACCAAUAUUUUGGCAUAUGAGAUACACACACACACACACACACCAUAUUGCUUUUUUUAGUGAACAAGUUUUAUAUUUUAUUAGAUUAGUUAUGUAACAAUUUUGAAACUAAAUUCAGAAACAAUAGAAAAAAUGUUGUUGUGGAACACAAAACAUGAAUUAAUAUUAGAAGUAUAGCCAUUUAAAUCUUAAUAGACUAAUUCCUACUAUGUUAGUUUUAUUUGUCCAGAACUGAAGACAAAACUCAUCUGCUCUCAUGGAAGGUGAAGUACAGAAAGCCCACAGAUGUUAUAGAGAUCUAAAACAGUAGUACUUACACUCAGGUAGAAUCUAUGAUUCAGGUAUGAAUGUCUAUGGUAGAAAGAUUAAGGCUUUAGGACAAGGUAGUAGACAUUUGUGGCACUAUUAAUUUCAAAUAAGAGUCCCAAGAUAGAACAUUAGAGCUAUUCGCAAAUUUAAAUAACCAGAUUUAAGCUAAUCUGUGAUACAUGGACCAUUGUGACCAUAACUUUUGUGUUUUUUUUUUUUUUUUUGAUAGUUAUUGUAACCAUAACCUUUUUUUUUUCCUGAUAGACAUUGUGACCAUAACUUUUCAGGCCUUUAAAAAAGGAAGUGCAAGAGAAGGAUUUCUCAUCCUUCCCUACUUUACAAAACCUGAUUUAAAAAUGGAAGUGCAACUGUGCAAGAGAAGGAUGAGAAAUCCUUCCUUACUUUACAAAACCUGAUCAAAACAGAGGAAAAGAAAUACUCUCCAAUAAACAUCAAAACAACUCGACAUUGCAAUUUUAACACUUCGGAUCUACAAGUCGACAUCCAAUCAAGUUGAGUUAUGUUGAGAAAUUCAUGCCUUAAAACAGAUAGUUACAUUAAAGGCACAACCAUAAUCAUAAAUCCAUUUACUGAGAAGAAAACAAUGCUGAGAAAAGCAAUGGGAACUUCAACAUAAUCAAAGAAAGUGAAUGAUUGGGGUUUUUCUGAAGGAAUUUUAGCUGAUAGAUUCAAUUAUUUGUAACCUCUCGCACUCUUACAUAUGAAAGUACAUGUUCAAGUUUGUGUAUGGACACUUUAUGCAGAGAAUGGGUAGGUCCAUUAACCCUUUCAUCCCUCCAGAACCCCAGAAAAGGAACCUGUAAUGGCCAACGGCCUUUGUAUAGAGUGAUCCCUCUAAUACAGCUACAGAGAAUACUCUCAAAACCAUGCUUAUAGUAGUAGAUCACUAACUAUUGAUGUGCUUUCAACCAUUUCAAGAGCACUCAUCAGCCAUGCAGUCAGAAUUUCAACUGGAGUAAAGUUGGGCUCAAGAAAGUCUACUCAAAGCCGAAAAAAUCUCAAGGCCAGACAAGAGCCCAGGGACAGAUUUCAAUUUUAGGAAGCUAUUUCAUACGAGGAAAGGAAUCUCCAAGAGUUUAUUCCUUGAGAAAAAAGAAAUAUUAGCAAACGGAAUGAAGAAGCCAUUGAGAAGCAGGAGAUAUUCAGAUAAUGACUUAAAAUUUGGGUGGUAGAUGUAGUCUCAUUACUUUAAAAAUAUAUCUGCAGUGCUCCUAAUAGCACCAGAUAUUGAUAAGAGAAGGUGCGGAUGGAGUACUUGCAGCUGGUCCCAGUCAAAUCUUUAUAUGCUUUAACAAUAGUUGUUUGGUCACUUUUUCUAAGUAAGGCCAUUCAGGACAGAAUUCAUUCAAUGAUUUUUUUUUUUUUUUUUUUGGAAGAAAUAUGUCCAUACCCAGGUAUAUAGUACAAUAUAAAAGAACAAUCAUGAUAUUCUCUAAAUUUCAUUUCUCAAUUCAGCAGAUCAUUAAGUUAUAAAAACAAAUAACAUUACAAUAUUCAACAAGGAAAAAGAAUAUACUGUGUCACCAAAAGGACAUCAAUGGUUGAAGGAUCAAUCUCAUCAAAGUAUGGCAAAGCAGCCAUGACUGAGUAUGCGGGAUGAAUUCCACAGUCAAACUAUCAUCACAGAACAGGAACAUAAUAGAAACAAACAAAUUAAAAAAAAUAUCGAAAACAAAGUAUAAAAACUAGCAACCAAAAUAAACGAAUAAUGCAUUAUGGUAUACCAAUAUGGUUUUCCCUUUAUAGGACAUGUAGACACAGGAACGGCCCACUUCAUUUCCAGCACCUAGAGGGGUAAUAAUCAGCUGGUCUCCUCUUGUUAAUGAGGAAUCUGGUCUCUUCAAAGACUGCGAUGGCCCUGUAGAUGCCAUUCUUCAACUGAACAAUUCUCAGACCCCUUCAAUUAACACCACUCUAUUUUCAUGCAAAAUGCUCUGCAACCGAUUAAAAAAUACAAAAAAAAGAUUCAAAAAAAAAUAAAAAAACGCUUCAUCAUAAAUAAAAUGAUACCCAAAAAUAAAUACAAUUCCAACAAAAGACAUUUUUUCUCUGGGAACUCCAGUUAUUUUGGUGAAUAUAUUUCUGUUAAGCUUGGGAAAAAUAAAUUUUGACUUUCAGUAAAAUAACUCUGUACAGUUGAAAUUUAUAUUUCCCUGAGAACAUCUUCAAUAGAAAUAACCUAUCUCCCCAAUUGAAGCUCAAAAUUCAAAAUCCAGUACGAGAAAGCACUGUUUGUUUGCUGAGAAAUUGCAGAACCAAAAAUUUAAAUCUUACAGCUCUCAGCACUCAUCCCCCUAGAAAGCAACAUAAAAGCGCAAGAUUCAAUUGCUUCAUUUCCCUCUCUUCUCCUCACUUUUCUCAGCAACCAAACACAACAACCUUAUAUAAAUAAGGAGAGAGAGUGAAGUAGAAGAAAGAAGAAACUCGAAACUUAUAAAAAAAAAGCAUAGUAUGAAGGCAAUUAUAAGAGAUUCAAAAUUUUCAACUCACUUGGUUGCAUUCCCCAGGACUUUCUCGGGAACCAAACAGACGGGAGGAAGAAAAAACAUAAACUUCAGAACAAAGAAAGAAGAAAUGCAUAGAAAAUAGCAGAGGGAGAAAGUUUCGAGAGAGCUAGAGAGGUUACAGUUAUGAAAUGAUUUCAGACCAUGCAGAGGAAGAGAUUGAACUAAAACCCCAAUUUUGAGAAGAUGCUUCCCUCUUUGCCUCACCCUCUGAAAGAUUGAUAAAUACCGGGCUGGAAUGGUCGGUCCGGACAGUCUUCAAGGAGUUCUUGAAAAAGAAUCUGAAGUACAUCUAUGAACAAUCACAUAUGCAUUUGGGCAAUCUAUAGGUUCUCCAUCUGCUCUCAUCGCUGAACUACCACAUUCCUUCAGAUAAAUGGACCUGCCACCUCUGGUUUAUUAAAGACUAAAACAAUUUCCGUUGAACAGGUCUUUGCAUAAACCUUCUUUGGGGCAGGAGACUGAUGUGGAGUAUACUUAAGUCGUUUUCAGAUUAGUAUUUGAAUUGACCUUCUGAGGGGUGCCAAGUGCAAUUCACCAAAAUCCCAAACUGGAAUUAGUCCAUCUCCCAUUUCCUUUGAAAUACUCAACAAUUUAGUUUCUUUUUCUAUCAAGUUUGCCUUCAACUUUUCAAUAUCAGCCUACAUUUUCUCUAGUUUCGUCUGUGGUUCAGCUUGUAUUGGACUGGGUCUAGAUUUUGCGUGUUCUACAUGCUCAUAAGUGCUUCCAAACUACACCAUGUCCUGAACAUAUUCUUUCUGAUACCUGACCUUGGCAUCAAGAGCAGAUUUUAAAUGUCCCAUCUUUAAGACCAGAUUACUACUUAUGAAGUAGUCUAGGCUCUCCUUCAAACGGCUGAGACAGUGAGCAUUGUAACCACUGCCAAAUACUUUGUUAGUUGCUGAAAGAAAGCUUGGGUUCCUAUCUGAAAUUAGAACCACAUGACAAUUCAUCAGUAAAUACUUCAGAUGCUCUAGGAACCACAACCAGUUUUCUUCAUUAUCAGUAUUAACCACCCCAUAAACUAGAGGAUAUUAGUCAUCAUCUACAUCUAAGGCAGAUGCAGACAACAAAGUGUCUUUAUGUGGCCCACUCAAGUGAUAGGCGUCAACAAACAGCAACUCCCUGGAAUUGACUUCAUAAGUCGCUUGCACAUCCAUGGAAUUAGCUUGUAAGAGUCCUCUGGCUUUCCAAAAUUCGCUGUGCUGGAGAAAGUCCAAUAGUGAGGGCUGCUGCUGAGCGAAUGCAAUAGUUCCUUUACAUGCAGUUGAGCCACCAGCCUGUUAAUUUCUCAGCUCAUGGCGUAGGUGAACAUUAAGCUGCUGAAGAUAGACUGGCUCUCUACAUCAGAUCACAUUGAUUUGUUUGGAGUUGCCCAAUUUCUUUGGCAAAUCUUCAUUUUCGUGUCUCGAAUUGUGGUUCAGUUUCCUUACUUCUUCUACCUCUGGACAUUCCAAAACAAAACUUGCAAAGGCUUGAAUGGCUUCUAAACUUUCUGCCAAUUCAGAAUUUUCCAACUGCAGGUUCACAUUAGAGUUCUUCUAACUCCUCUGCUUCAGCAGCCUCAAAGCAUUCCUUUUUAGCAGCUUCACGCUCUUCUGUUGCAAAUCCUCUUUGAUCACUCUCAAUAAUUACCAAUAAUUUUUGCUUGGGUUGAAGAACAAACCUUCUUGGUGUAUACCUUAAAGGAAUCGCAGAUUCAUUAAAUGUUUCACCCAGUCAUUCAAUAGUGAAGACUAUGCAACCAUGAAGGAAAGUGAGUCAAUGCAUGAACUAAUGGGUCGGGCCUUGUGGUGCCUAAAGUGGGCCUAGGUGGGCCAAAGUAAACCUAAGUGAGCUUAGAAAAGUGCUCUAGUGACCUAGAGUGAACUAAGUGGAAUUUAACUUAAAGUGCACCCAAAGUAAAGCCUAACCUAAACUCAAAGGAUGACUAAUGUCACAAUGAGAAGCCAGAUAAACCCUCAACCAAAGUCUCUAAGGUGGCUCAGAGAAGGCAAAUUGCAUAGUAGUAAUUAGCUACAAAUGAACCAUUGUAAAAUACUAAACGAGCCCUCAAUAGAACAUGUGUUAAGGGGACAAAAUGGAGGGUCUACAGUAAUAGAACAAAAAUUCUAAAAUCUUCAAAUCUCAACUUUUAAACCAACAUAUCAACCAUAAUAUUUUUGUCUGAGCAAUUUCAAACUAAAACAAUAGCUAACAAUAAUUAAAUUCUAAUAUUUAACAAAAUCCCAAAAAGAGAGUUUAAACAAAUAUCCUAAUAAAGCCAAAAUUUUCAUUUCUCACCCGAACUUAGGGUACUUGAAAAAUUAACAACAAAGGGGGAUGAACUCAAAACUCAAUAAAAAACAUUAAUAUAGUUUCAUAGAUCAAAUAUUUUCAUUCAUGCUUCCAAAUAGGAGAUAUAGGGUAUAAUCAUUUUCAUAAAACGUUUGAGUUCAAACAUGCUAAUACAUUUUAAACAGUUCAACCAAACAUUUUCAUAUAUAUCAAAACCAUUUCAUAUCAAAUCCAAAUCAAAUACAUUUCAAUUAUUUUUAUUCUAGUUACCAAACAAUAAAUGGCGCUUAGUUAAGUGAAACUUUACAAAUGGGUAGUUAGCCUCAAAUUUGUUCCUUUUAAGGUGGACAGAAUCAAAAGUAACCUCUAAUCAAAGCCCUCAAGGUUGGGGUCUAAAUCAAUUAUAUUUUUCACCACAAAAAUGAAAAGGUCAACUAUUAUAUUUCGUUGACAAGGGCCGAAAAGUCAAUUAUUAUACUCCAUUGAUAAGGACCAAAAAAAUUAAAAUCAAAUUCUUUGUUUUAUUUAUUCAAACUUACGGAAACAUAAGACCUCCAUAUAUUCUAUUAUAAACAAAAGAAAUGUUAUAAUAUAUUUUUCAUGCAAAAAUAUAUUUGAUCCAUACAUAAAAGCAAAAAUAACAUUUACAUAUAUAUAUAUAUAUAAUUAUCUUCUUUUGCAAAGUUUGUAUUAAUUUCUCUUAGCUCAAAAGAGUCCUAAAAAACCUUGGAGAGAAAUAAUUAUGGAAAAUCUAUUCUUCACUUAACAUAACAUAAUAGAAAUAAAUAUUACUAUUUAUCUACAAUUUAAUUAAUCUAUUCCGUAUUUAAAUAAAAUUAAUAAAUUUCUAAUUUGAUUCUAAUAACACAUUACUAAUUUAAUUAAAUUGCAAUUUUAUUUCAUUAUAUAUAUAUAUAUAUAUAUAUAUUUUACUAAAUCUCUCAUUCUAUUUAUUACAUUAAACCAUUAUUACUAUUAUCUUAUUUAUUAACCUAGACCUAAAUAUUAUUAUUUUAUUAAUUAUCAAAUUCAAUAGCCACCCAAACCAUUACCCACUUGUCUCCGGGACACACAAAACCAAUAAAACAAAGCAAGUUCUUUCAAUUGUCAUCAUCAUUAUUAUGAUGAUUCAUUAUUUAUUUAUUUAUUCUUGGUUUUCCAAGUUCUUCCUUCCAUCCAAUGCACAUGCCUCUUUUUUAUUCUUUAUUUCUUUCUUAACCCUAACACGUCUUUUUUUUUUUUUUUACUUCUAGGAAUGUGCACACAAAUACAAUGCCUCAAAACCAUAAAUACAAGUAUCUAUAUAUCACCCCUCCAAAAUCCAGAAAUCAUGUAAUUCUUCUUAUUAUUUAUUUAUUUAUUUUCUUUUCAAUCUAAAGUCUCCACUAACGACUUAUUUAUUUAUUAUCUAAAUCUAAAAUUUCUUUUCUUCCUCUGUUUUUUUUCAUUUUAAAUUUAUUUAUUUAUUUUUCUAUUCCAUUGAAAUUUUUGAAAUUUUCCUAUCUUCAUCAAUAAAUCAACCUAUACUUGCAAUUUUUCAAACAUUUUGAUCUAAAAGUUUAAUAAACAAACCCUAAUCUAGAUUUAGAUUUUCCAAAAAAAUAUCUAAUAUGUUUUAAAGUAACUAACGAAUCUAAAAUAUUAAUCUAGGGGUUAGAAUCUUAUCGGAAAAGUAUGGACUUCAAACCUUAAACCUUCAAACCUUCACCCCUAUGUUCACCAAUUCUCUAAUUUUGGUUAAUAAGGUUUUUGGAAUAGAGAAGACAAGAAAAAAAAAAUCUAAUUCAUACCUAGGACUAUUAAUGGAAAAAAUGACAUUUUUCCCCUAAUGAAUUUAAUUAAUUUUUAAUUUACUAUUUUACCCUUAAAAUUAAUUUGGGGUGUUAUAGUAUCAAUGGAUGAAAAAAAAAAAUCAAAAGGCUUAGGUCAUAAAUUUUAUUUCAAAAUCAUUUAAGAAUUAAUUAAUUAAAACUCAAUUUUUAAGUUUUUAAAUUUUAAAUUCCUCCCUUAUUCAUUAUUGGAUUGAAUUCUUUUAACUAUUUUUCCCUCUUUUAACUUUAUUAUUUCUUUCAUAAUUUUUAUCAUUAGAACAUAUAAGCUUUCUUGUUUCUCUUAAGAUUUUGUAAAUCAUUUAUGUGAAAUUUUAAAACCAAAUUAGCUAUCAAUAUUUCUUCUACUUUUUUCUCAAUCAAAUGCAUGGUUUGUUGUUGAUACUUAUCUUGGUUCAUCUAUAAGUGAGACCAUACUUUUUUUUCCAUUUGGAAGUCCUAAGGAAUCGACAUGUAGCCUAUAACAAGGACUACCAAAUUAAUCAUUUAUAGUUUACAAUAAAAUAGAAUGCAUAUUAAAGGGGCUCUAGACUCGCAACUGUGAAUAUAUUGUUUGUUCUAGGUCCAACAGGUUUUCAAAAUUUCAAAAUAUGUUUACAAGGCUAAGAGGAGUCCAUACAAAUAUAAUAUAUAUGUAAAAUUGCAAGGUUAAACGUUUUUAGAGAAACACUUCAAUUAAAAGCAUUUCCAAUAAAAACACUUUCAAUCGAUCAUUAAUUAUCUUUAGUUAAUUAUCAUCAAUUCCUAAAUAUAUAUUUAUUCUCCUUAUCGGGGAUUUUACUAAAAUGCUUUUUUUUUUUUUUUAUCAAACUAAACUAUGCAAGUGUAGGAAGUAGUUCUGUUUAAUAUGCUCAUAUGCUCUUUAGAUCAUGUUCUCCUUGAGUUGCUUGUUUCUUCUUAACAAAAAAAAUACAGUUUGUCACCCAUUUUGAAGGGAGAUAAUAACGAAAAACUCAUAGUUAAAAAAAAAAAAAAAAAAAAGUGAUUUCAACAGUUUUGGGAAUUAUCACUCUCAACAAUCUAUUAAAAAAUUGUAAAGAUUACAUGUUGGCUCUCCCCAGCCCCAAGGACGCUUACUGUCACAAGAAACCCAUAUCCUAUCUUCCACCCCAAGCCUGCUUCUGCCACUCAAAGUCCAAUCACAAUAUUCAGAGCUCCCAAGAUGAGAGCAAGUCUCCCUACCAAGUGAUGUUACUAGUUCCAGUACUUGCGCUGUUUGGAUGUCUUGUCCGGCCUUAGAAUCAAUGCCAUUACCCAAGAAGAAGAAAACUUAGUUUUCAGCAUGCUUGAAGAAAUAUAUUUAGUUAAUGUCGAGUGAACGCCCAGGGAGAGUGAAAACAAACCUGAAGAAUGCCAAGGAAAAACACCAAGGAUCCGAGGGGUCUGUGAAUCUUGAAUUUGGGAAUGCGAUAAGACUCCAGUCCAUUGUAGAGUGUCCUUCCUGCGACGACAGUAGCAAGACCCGGAAGAAAACCCACAAUCUGGAUCGAGAUAUGAAGAUAAAACCAUUGAGGAUCAUGAUGCUUGAAGUAUCUAGGGAUGAUUGCCCCAGAUGGAAGGAGCACGUCCCAUGCAAUUAGGCCCAUGUCUCCAUGACGCGUCUCCAAAUCUCCAGUGUUAUUGACACCAGAGUUAUAUCCUGUGAGACACACAACAGAAAUUUUCCAUAUCAGACUUCAAAGAGUUUUAUCUGAAGCUCCCACUUUAUUUCCUAGAUAUAAGCCCCUCACGUCUAGAAUGUAAAAUCCUCUGUUCUCUGUUCAAAUUUCAGCUUUGCAAUUGGAGUCAAUACAUCUCGUAUUCAAUUCAAUCCUCAUCUUUUUAUGGCCUCCUAAAUUCUAUGACCCAGUUUUGUGAAAAACUACAUCAUGGGGACCCAAGAGGAUGGGAUUUGAUUCAAUGUUAGGUACAAAAUUUUGGAAAAAUCUGCAAAACCCUCAACAGUUGUGACCACAGCUCAAGACCAAGGUGGGAAUUUACAAUCUAAUAAUGCUGAUGAAUGCUUCAUAGACUGCUCUACGAAACUAGAGUUUGUUAGAAUGCCUGUCCUUUGUUGAAAGACAUGAAGAUCCUCACAUUCUCGAGCAGGAAGAACCUUGGCCGAAAGUAGUCGGCAAAGGAUAAGAAGGCUGGGAUCAUUUCACACUGAACUUUACUCCAACUACUCUGGUUAA